CUCUGAUCUUUCCCCCUUGCCCCUGACCCCUACAGGGCAUUGCAGUCGAAUCCAGAGGGUGGUCUUUCAAGUAGUGAGGGUCACAGGCUGAAAAAUAUGGAGCGCCGCCUGACUGACAUGGAGCAUACUCAGGCCCAGCUGAGGGAUGCUGUUCAGAACCUACAAUUUCUUCCAAAGAUACCAGAGUCACGGAGUCAGCCCCUGCCUCUCAAAGCACCUUGCGUCAAUGGAGAUACCACCUGAGCUGCCCAUUCUCUAUCCCAUGUGGUCUGGGAGCAGAGAGCCGACUUAGGAGGGUAUCUGACCCUGCCUUUGGCCCUAUGUGACCUACAGUGAGGAGUGGCACUGUAGGUGCCAACCAACCACUCUGGCACUAUGAGGUUGCCCAGUAAAAUCUUGAUUUCAGUAAAAUCAGUGGUUUGUUUGUCCCUAAGGUUUGCUAAUCACGGAGUAGCCCCUCACCCCCAUUCAAUUCUCCCAAAUUCUUUCCGAAUUUGAGGUCUCCUGGAAGGGAAAUGUAAGCAGAUUCUCACCAGCUAUGUGACCUUAGGCCAUCACUCUAGAAGCCUUUAUUUCAUUAUCUAUAAAAUGGAUCUGAAAUUUUCCUACACUGUGGCAGACCCCUAAAAGUAUUCAAAAAAAGGUAUUCAUCAUUGGUACAGGCAGUACCUGUUUCUCAAGGGAGCAUGGGUCCUACAAACUCAUUUAUCCCAUACCAUCCUCACCUAAUCCUCAGGCUCCAGAUAAGAGAAUUUUCCUAAACCCCAAAUCCCAAACCAGCUCCCUCAUGGCAUGGAUAGCGUAGUCUGAGAGGCAGAUGAAGGAAGGGUAAGAAAAUGUGAAGUUCUGUGGGUGAAUGGUGAGUAAAUUAGUAGGCCUUUAAAUCAUGGGUAAGGGGUAGAGUGGAACAUUAGGCAGGUGAAUAGGUUACUAUUUGUUGGAUGUUUGACCUAUAGAUGACUAGUUAGGUAGGCAGGUAACCAGGAUGGAUAUGUCUACUUAGAAAAGACCUGGCUCAUAGUAGGAAAUAAAUAUUUG
rnacentral:lncRNA from 1 species